UACGUAGGGGGCAAGCGUUGUCCGGAAUCAUUGGGCGUAAAGAGCGUGUAGGCGGCCCGAUAAGUCCGCCGUGAAAGUCCAGGGCUCAACCCUGGAAUGCCGGUGGAAACUGUCGGGCUGGAGUCCGGAAGAGGCGAGUGGAAUUCCUGGUGUAGCGGUGAAAUGCGCAGAUAUCAGGAGGAACACCAAUGGCGAAGGCAGCUCGCUGGGACGUUACUGACGCUAAGGCGCGAAAGCGUGGGGAGCGAACAGG
rnacentral:rRNA from 1 species